rnacentral:rRNA from 1 species
AUUGAACGCUGGCGGCAGGCCUAACACAUGCAAGUCGAGCGGAUGAGAGGAGCUUGCUUCUUGAUUCAGCGGCGGACGGGUGAGUAAUGCCUAGGAAUCUGCCUGGUAGUGGGGGACAACGUUUCGAAGGGAACGCUAAUACCGCAUACGUCCUACGGGAGAAAGCAGGGGACCUUCGGGCCUUGCGCUAUCAGAUGAGCCUAGGUCGGAUUAGCUAGUUGGUGAGGUAAUGGCUCACCAAGGCGACGAUCCGUAACUGGUCUGAGAGGAUGAUCAGUCACACUGAACCUGAGACACGGUCCAGACUCCUACGGGAGGCAGCAGUGGGGAAUAUUGGACAAUGGGCGAAAGCCUGAUCCAGCCAUGCCGCGUGUGUGAAGAGGGUCUUCGGAUUGUAAAGCACUUUAAGUUGGGAGGAAGGGUGGUACGUUAAAACCGUGCAAUUUUGACGUUACCGACAGAAUAAGCACCGGCUAACUCUGUGCCAGCAGCCGCCGCGG